GGCCCUUCGGGGUACACGAGCGGCGAACGGGUGAGUAACACGUGGGUGAUCUGCCUCGCACUCUGGGAUAAGCCUGGGAAACUGGGUCUAAUACCGGAUAUGACCUUACAUCGCAUGGUGUUUGGUGGAAAGAUUUAUCGGUGCGAGAUGGGCCCGCGGCCUAUCAGCUUGUUGGUGGGGUAAUGGCCUACCAAGGCGACGACGGGUAGCCGGCCUGAGAGGGCGACCGGCCACACUGGGACUGAGACACGGCCCAGACUCCUACGGGAGGCAGCAGUGGGGAAUAUUGCACAAUGGGCGAAAGCCUGAUGCAGCGACGCCGCGUGAGGGAUGACGGCCUUCGGGUUGUAAACCUCUUUCGACAGGGACGAAGCGCAAGUGACGGUACCUGUAGAAGAAGCACCGGCCAACUACGUGCCAGCAGCCGCGGUAAUACGUAGGGUGCGAGCGUUGUCCGGAAUUACUGGGCGUAAAGAGCUUGUAGGCGGCUUGUCGCGUCGAUCGUGAAAACUUGGGGCUCAACCCCAAGCUUGCGGUCGAUACGGGCAGGCUUGAGUACUUCAGGGGAGACUGGAAUUCCUGGUGUAGCGGUGAAAUGCGCAGAUAUCAGGAGGAACACCGGUGGCGAAGGCGGGUCUCUGGGAAGUAACUGACGCUGAGAAGCGAAAGCGUGGGUAGCGAACAGGAUUAGAUACCCUGGUAGUCCACGCCGUAAACGGUGGGUACUAGGUGUGGGUUUCCUUCCACGGGAUCCGUGCCGUAGCUAACGCAUUAAGUACCCCGCCUGGGGAGUACGGCCGCAAGGCUAAAACUCAAAGGAAUUGACGGGGGCCCGCACAAGCGGCGGAGCAUGUGGAUUAAUUCGAUGCAACGCGAAGAACCUUACCUGGGUUUGACAUACACCGGAAACCUGCAGAGAUGUAG
rnacentral:rRNA from 1 species